rnacentral:rRNA from 1 species
AUUGAACGCUGGCGGCAUGCCUUACACAUGCAAGUCGAACGGCAGCACGUGUGCGUGUACUUACUGGUGGCUGACGGGUGAGUAAUACAUCCAUAGGUGCCUGUCCUUGAGUGAUAACUAGCCGGGCGCUUUCCUAAUACCUCCUACGUACUAUCUAUGAAAGAAAGCGGCGGCCAGUCCUUCCGCGCUUUAUGCGGUUGGUGGAUGGCUGAUUAGCUAGUUGGUGGGGUAAAUGCCUACCAAGCCGACGAUCAGUAGCUGGUCUGAGAGGACGACCAGACACACUGGGACUGAGACACGGCCCAGACUCCUACGGGAGGCAGCAGUGGGGAAUUUUGGACAAUGGGCGAAAGCCUGAUCCAGCAAUGCCGCGUGUAGGAAGAAGGCCUUCGGGUUGUAAACUACUUUUGUACGGAAAGAAAAGCCUGGGGCUAAUACGGGCGGCAGAUGACGGUACCGUAAGAAUAAGCACCGGCUAACUACGUG